GACAGGAGAGGAGGAGAGAAGCCGAGGCAGGACAAUGGAGGCUGAUGAAAAGAUCUCACUCCAUGUAUUUACAGGCAACCUCAACACAAGGAUGAUGCCUGCUAGACAACUAGACAACUGCUCUUCAUCCUGCCCUAUUACAUCUAGUGUUGAUGUCAUUUUUCCCCAUUGCCAUGGCUGGGACAUUCAAGUAUGCUGUAUUUCCCUGUGGGACAGUGAAAGGCACUCUGGUUCCCGGUUGAGGAGGCUUAAACCCCAGAGACCUUAAAGGGAGGGUAGGCAUUUCACCUGACUCCUGGGAAACCAGGGCCAGUCACUAGCCUGAAGCCCUCCAAAGAUUUGUGACCAUCAGUCUCGUAAGGGCAACACCCCAAGCCCCUUCACAGGUAGAGGACAUGACCACAGGUCACAUAGUAUCAAGACAGAUCUCCAUUAUAAUGAGGACCUAAAAGCCUGGAGACUUAGCCAAUGAACUUUCCUUCCCAGACACUCCUCCCUGCAAAAAAUAUUUAAUCUCAGACCCACUCUGAGAAGUGGAGUACAGUUUUACUCAUCCACUUUUCGUCAUGACAAUAAAUGCCUUAAAAUC
rnacentral:lncRNA from 1 species